rnacentral:rRNA from 1 species
AAACCAACAGGGAUUGCCUCAGUAACGGCGAGUGAAGCGGCAAAAGCUCAAAUUUGAAACCCUCGGGAUUGUAAUUUGAAGAUUUGGCAUUGGAGAAAGCUAACCCAAGUUGCUUGGAAUAGUACGUCAUAGAGGGUGACAACCCCGUCUGGCUAACCGUUCUCCAUGUAUUGCCUUAUCAAAGAGUCGAGUUGUUUGGGAAUGCAGCUCAAAGUGGGUGGUAAACUCCAUCUAAAGCUAAAUACUGGUGAGAGACCGAUAGCGAACAAGUACUGUGAAGGAAAGGUGAAAAGAACUUUGAAAAGAGAGUGAAAUAGUAUGUGAAAUUGUUGAUAGGGAAGGAAAUGAGUGGAGAGUGGCCGAGGUUUCAGCCGCCCCUCGUGGGCGGUGUACUGCCGACGCCGAGUCAUCGAUAGCGAGACGAGGGUUACAAAUGGGAGCGCCUUUCGGGCGUUCUCCCCUAACCCUCCACACUGCCACCGACAACAUAAUCCACCCAUUUCA